rnacentral:rRNA from 1 species
GACGUGGGAUGCAAGCGUUGUCCGGAUUUAUUGGGCGUAAAGAGUUCGUAGGUGGUUUGUUAAGUCUGAUGUUAAAGACUGGGGCUCAACCUCGGAAAUGCAUUGGAUACUGGCAGACUUGAGUGUGGUAGAGGCAAUCGGAAUUCCAGGUGUAGCGGUGAAAUGCGUAGAUAUCUGGAGGAACACCGAUGGCGAAGGCAGGUCUCUGGGCCACUACUGACGCUGAGAAGCGAAAGCAUGGGGAGCGAACAGGA